UGAGGAAUAUUGGACAAUGGGUUAGCGCCUGAUCCAGCCAUCCCGCGUGAAGGACGACGGCCCUAUGGGUUGUAAACUUCUUUUGUAUAGGGAUAAACCUAGAUACGUGUAUCUAGCUGAAGGUACUAUACGAAUAAGCACCGGCUAACUCCGUGCCAGCAGCCGCGGUAAUACGGAGGGUGCAAGCGUUAUCCGGAUUUAUUGGGUUUAAAGGGUCCGUAGGCGGACUCGUAAGUCAGUGGUGAAAUCUCAUAGCUUAACUAUGAAACUGCCAUUGAUACUGCGGGUCUUGAGUAAGGUAGAAGUGGCUGGAAUAAGUAGUGUAGCGGUGAAAUGCAUAGAUAUUACUUAGAACACCAAUUGCGAAGGCAGGUCACUAUGUCUUAACUGACGCUGAUGGACGAAAGCGUGGGGAGCGAACAGG
rnacentral:rRNA from 1 species